rnacentral:lncRNA from 1 species
GAGGCUGGGGAUGUCUCUCAGUGCUAGAGCAGCCCUGGGUUCACUCCCUAGUACCACCAAAUAAAAAUAUAAACGUUCUACCAGGUUCAUCUCUACACACACUUCUUUUCUUCCCUGUCCAACUGUUUCCCUCCCCUGCUACAAAGGUGUUUGUGACUCCUCAUCUCCCCUUAACCUCCAAGCUGCAGACCCAGGGGAGAGAAUCAUUAGCCUCUGGUUCAGCACUGGGCAAAUAGAGCCUCUGAGGACAGGCCGCUUACACAGAGAAUGAGUGGUCUUUAAAGCACCAGGGCUUCCUAAACCACCCCGCAGAUAAUCUCUCCUCUCUGGCAUCCCUGAUGCCCUGCUCCAAAGCAUACCUCAAUGCAGAGCCACAGAAUCUCUGUGCACACUUGCCAUCCACUGGCACUGAACUAGUGGCUGUCUCUGGAGGUGGUGGAGCUUCUGACUGUGGGCUUGGGUGCCGGGGAGGUGUCCUGCAGGUGGCAGUACUCCUUAAGAACUUAGGGUAGGAAGCAAUAUGUCAGAAUUGAAUGUGUAUAAAUAGUUGCUUUGAAUUGCAAAUGCUAUUUUCUUCAUGGCCCCAGAUCAGAUCAAAUUUUAUAUAUCUAUAUGAUCAACAAGCACAUAUGAUUUUACCCAGUGCAGACAAUGUAGAGCACCAGUUGUGAGCCCUUAAAAAGCUUGAGAGUCCCUCAGAUUGCACCACACCUGCACACAGCUCCCUCAACACUGACUUGACUUCACUUGCGGGGACUACACCUGCACAUUUGCACGUGACAUGGAGAGCCAAAGGCAGUGUGCCACCCCUCACCUGGGCUGUGAUCACUUGCACUUUCCAAAGAUACUUCUGCAUUUACAUUUCAAAGUUUUCAAGGUAAGCAUUUUUGGUUGUUUCAAAAAUCACAUCAUGCCUAGAAUCUGAAAUGAAAUCAGCGAGAACCCACUGUUUGCAUUUUCCGUAUUUCCUUUGCUCUGCUCUUUUUAAAUUGUUAAUUCCAAAAAUUUCAAAAUGCAUCCACUGAAGAAAUGGACAUUAAAAUAUUCUAAAAUCUAACUUUGGUGCCUGGCAUUUCCUCAUUGAAAAGAUGAGCACCUCUUAGAGACUGGGCAAUCCUCCUUAAACUCAUCGUGUUUUCUGCGGUUUAUGGCUGAAAUGGAAAGAUUUGCUUUUC